UACGUAGGGAGCGAGCGUUGUCCGGAUUUACUGGGUGUAAAGGGUGCGUAGGCGGGAUGGCAAGUCAGUAGUGAAAUCCAUGGGCUUAACCCAUGAACUGCUAUUGAAACUGUAGAGCUUGAGUGAAGUAGAGGUAGGCGGAAUUCCCGGUGUAGCGGUGAAAUGCGUAGAGAUCGGGAGGAACACCAGUGGCGAAGGCGGCCUACUGGGCACCAACUGACGCUGAGGUUCGAAAGCGUGGGUAGCAAACAGG
rnacentral:rRNA from 1 species